ensembl:lncRNA
GUGGCACAGCCCUUCCUUAGGGACCCCUCUCCUUCCCCGUCCUUUCACCCUGUCCUCUUCGACCCGCCCCUCCCCAGCCUCGCGGUUUCGGCCGCGAGAAAAUGCUUCCUCCCCUCGCGGGUUCCGGAUAAACCGAGUCACGCGGGGGCGCGCCGGCCGGGCGCUAGGACCCCGCGGCCGGGCCCAGGGGGGGGCGUGGUGGGGCGGGUCGGCGGGAGAGGUAUUUAAAUUGGAGCCCCGGUCGCCCUCUCGUGGGUCGGGCUCCCGUGGGGCGGUGGAGCGGCCGUGCGCCUCCUCGGGCCGUGACCCCGGGGUCUGGCGCGGGGUGGGACGGGGAGGGCAGGUUUGCGCAAAAUGUGCCGGGGCUGCCCGGGAGAGGAGCGGCGGCCGCGCUGAGCCAGUGAUUCACUGCUGGCUGGGAACAUCUACAGCAGCUCUCCCAGGACCCGACUCUGCCCGUGAUCCAGGCUGAGAGGAGGGAGAGGAGCACCCCGAAGCCCGGCACUGUGAGCCUGUCUGCUGCUGUGUGUGUUGGGGUUGGGGGAUGUGUGGAGUGGAUUAGAAAGGAGAUCUUGGCUUAGUGUUGUGGAAACACUUGCUUUAGGAGGCAGACAGACUGGAUUCUGAUCUCGACUUUGCCAUUAACUGCCUAUGUGACCUUGGGUAAGUCAUCUCCCUGAGCCUGGUUCUCCUCGUGGGCAAAUUCUCUAGGAGGCAGGCAGCUCAGCACCUGCUGGAAAAAACACAACACACAGAUCUGGGCUAAAUCCCAAAACACUUAUGAGCUGGGUAACUCUGGGGUAAGUCACUUCACCUUUCUGAGUCUCAGUGUUCUCAUAUGUAAAAUGGAAAUUAUAGUAACUGAUUCACUGGGUUGUUGUGAGAAUUAAAUGAAAUGAUAUAUGUCAAGUGCUAAGAAGAGUAUCUAACAUCCUUAAACACUAGAGAUGGGCUUAAUAUUAGUAGUGCCCCUCCACCUCAUCUCUCUCUCUCCCUCUCUCACACAUACACACACACACACUUUCACACACACCUACACAUUUUUUUGGCACUUCUCCUCCCAGAGUCCUAAGAUGUUUUUUUGCCUCCUCUUCCCUGGGCCACUUGUCUGCAGGCCGGGGGCUUUCCUCUUGAGCACUCCUUGCCUCGCCUGGGCUGCUCAGCCCUGCGAGUUUAUCCCUGCUGGGAAAGACAGUAUGUGUCCAGGGUACCUUCACGGCCGUUCUAUGCUUGAUCAUCACAACCACUGGAGGCAAACAGUGGCAAA